GACGAACGCUGGCGGCGUGCUUAACACAUGCAAGUCGAACGGUGAACGAGGGAGCUUGCUCCCUCCGGAUCAGUGGCGAACGGGUGAGUAACACGUGAGCAAUCGGCCCCGAACUCUGGGAUAAGCGUUGGAAACGACGUCUAAUACCGGAUACGACGCGGGAGGGCAUGCUCUCCGCGUGGAAAGAACUUCGGUUCGGGAUGAGCUCGCGGCCUAUCAGCGUGGUGGUGAGGUAACGGCUCACCAAGGCGACGACGGGUAGCGGGCCUGGGAGGGUGACCGGCCACACUGGGACUGCGACACGGCCCAGUCUCCUACGUGAGGCAGCAGUGGGGAAUAUUGCACAAUGGGCGCAAGCCUGAUGCAGCAACGCCGCGUGAGGGACGACGGCCUUCGGGUUGUAAACCUCUUUUAGCAGGGAAGAAGCGAAAGUGACGGUACCUGCAGAAAAAGCACCGGCUAACUACGUG
rnacentral:rRNA from 1 species